rnacentral:tRNA from 1 species
GGGCCUAUAGCUCAGUUGGUUAGAGCACACGCCUGAUAAGUGUGAGGUCGGUGGUUCAAGUCCAUUUAGGCCCA